AAUUUGCUAGAAAUCAAGCAGUCAAGCUUGUCCAGUUGAACGCUUUCACUUUGAUUCGAAAGUUUUCCUUUCUACUAUGUCUAGCAGAUAUUUGUCUACUUGAUGAAUGUCCUCACGUUGAAUCACAGGUUUUCACAGCAGUACGGAGUUUGUCCAAUUUAGUAUUUUCAGUCUCAAAUCAAAACCUUUUAGUCUUUCACACAAAUUUGCCCCAUUGAUUGGGUUUGAGAUUCAAGGUCUUAUGUUUUCCAUAUUAUCCCCC
rnacentral:lncRNA from 1 species